CUGCCCCCAAAUGAAUCUUUGAGUCUCGACACAGUAGGUGGCCAUGGUCCCUUCUCUUGCUCAGAUGCCUGACUUCUGCUUCUAGGCAGAGGAAGAAGGGCUGAUGGGGAAACAGAGGCAGUGCAUGCAGGAAAGCCCACCCGGCCCCUCCCUGGGGAUCAAGGUGCUAGUGUUCGCCCAAGGCCCCCCACAGCUGACUACUGUCCUGGGUCCUGGGGAGCUGGCCUCUGCCCCAGCCCUCCUCCACCCUCCAUGAUGGUGCCAGGUAAGGCUUCGGGCAUGGCAGAGGCUGAACCGAGAGCCACCCCACCUUGUUCCUGUGGCUCCAUUACCACCCCCCCCAUCCACACCCAAGAGGUGAGAUCCUAGGGCAGCUGGCAUCUGACAGCCUGGCAUCGACUCCUGCCAACAGCUUGGAAGCUGCAGUAAUUAGAAGGGAAGAGGGGGGGGGGGGGGGAGAGGAGAGCGAAGGCAAGCUCCAGAGAGAGAGAGAGAAACCUUCUCCUGCCUGCCCCAGGGCAAACUACUUCAAACGAAUUCGUUUCGCUCUUGUGAAACUGAAGACAAUUUCCUUUUCUGUCAUAAAACAAAUUAUUGCUCAUCAGGA
rnacentral:lncRNA from 1 species